rnacentral:rRNA from 1 species
CCCCUGUGAACUUAUACCUUUACGUUGCUUCGGCGGGACUCGCCCCGGCUGCCCUUCAGCGGCGGACCGGACCCAGGCGCCCGCCGGAGGACCCAAACUCUUCUGUCUCUUAUAGCGGCAUGUCUGAGUGGAUUUUAUACAAAUGAAUCAAAACUUUCAACAACGGAUCUCUUGGUUCUGGCAUCGAUGAAGAACGCAGCGAAAUGCGAUAAGUAAUGUGAAUUGCAGAAUUCAGUGAAUCAUCGAAUCUUUGAACGCACAUUGCGCCCGCCAGUAUUCUGGCGGGCAUGCCUGUUCGAGCGUCAUUUCAACCCUCAAGCCCCCGCGCUUGGUGUUGGGUGCCGGCGUCAGCGUCUCCCUCCAGAGCGCCCGCCGCCCCCGAAAUUGAUUGGCGGCCUCGUCGCAGCCUCCCUUGCGUAGUAACAUACCACCUCGCAUGGCGGAGCGCGGCGCGGCCACUGCCGUAAAACACCCCAAUUUCUCAGAGUUGACCUCGGAUCAGGUAGGAAUACCCGCUGAACUUAAGCAUAUCAAUAAGCGGAGGAA